rfam:Cylindrobasidium torrendii FP15055 ss-10 unplaced genomic scaffold CYLTOscaffold_11, whole genome shotgun sequence.
GCCCGUUUAGCUCAGUGGUAGAGCGCGCCACUUGUAUGACAGAAAGCAAAUGGUGAGGUCGGUUGUUCAAUCCAGCCAAUGGGCA